GCAAAGCCUCUUCAGUGUAAUGUUCUGAUUGACAUCACCGGACGAGCCGGAUUGUCCCCAUCAAUUGAUCACUUGAGAUGGUGACACUCACUGGAUUCGGGAAGAAACAGUGUUAGCUGGGAUGCCAUCUGCAUACUCUCUUCUCAUGGUGGCUGAGGAGCAAUCCAGGUAGACUCCAGCUGAUCAAAGCUCUCCAUAGUAACCAGCAGCAACUCCAGAAAGGAGAGAAAAUCAACAACUUAUUCAAAGCAGUGUGAACUGGAAGGUGAUUCAAGUCAACUGGAAAAGUCCCAAAUGAUGUCCUGCUGGUUGAUGUUGCUGCCCAAGGAGCCUCUCCUCUGUCAUGGAGGGGAAUGAAUGGGUGACAGGGGACAACUGGCCUGUGAAGGUUUGUGCAUCUAGGAAAGAACUAAUAAGUGGAAAAAAGCAGAAGUUCUGUUGGAAAUAACACUGAGUCUUGAAACAAAGUCCUGGUGCUGGUAGCAGUUCACCCCAGCACAUCCUGGGGAGUUAAAACCUGUGUCAGUGCUGGGCAACUGCAGCUCAGGGGUGUCUGUGCCUCUCCAGAGCUGCCCUGCUGGCUCUGGCUGCUGGGGGUCCUCAAAGGAGCUGGAGAGAAGGGAAGGAUCCAUGAAUGAAUCCCAGGAAUGGCAUUCAGCAUUCCUGUUGGGCUACACCAUGAACUGGCAAGGAAG